rnacentral:rRNA from 1 species
UCAGUAACACGUAGUCAACAUGCCCAAAGGACGUGGAUAACCUCGGGAAACUGAGGAUAAACCGCGAUAGGCCAAGGUUUCUGGAAUGAGCCAUGGCCGAAAUCUAUACGGCCUUUGGAUUGGACUGCGGCCGAUCAGGCUGUUGGUGAGGUAAUGGCCCACCAAACCUGUAACCGGUACGGGCUUUGAGAGAAGGAGCCCGGAGAUGGGCACUGAGACAAGGGCCCAGGCCCUAUGGGGCGCAGCAGGCGCGAAACCUCUGCAAUAGGCGAAAGCUUGACAGGGCUACUCUGAGUGAUGCCCGCUAAGGGUAUCUUUUGGCACCUCUAAAAAUGGUGCAGAAUAAGGGGUGGCAAGUCUG